UAACUAGUUUGUCCUGAUGAGUCAGGAGCUGAUUUGUCGUUGAAUGGGCAGUACAUGUGAGAUACGUGAAAACCUAUGAUUGUAUUUUUGGAGGGCUAUUAGAUAUAUGACUUAAUUGAUUAAACCUGCUUGAAUAUUUAAGGUACAUAAAAAUAAGAUCUGAUAGGAAACAUGUACUUCCUGUGUUUUUGUUGCUAGGUGUAUGGAGGCAAGUCUCCAACAGGUCUAUCAACACCAACCAAUCACCUCAUUGAAUGGCCUCUAAUGUUCACUUAAAGGUCUCCAUCUUGAAUUCUUUUUAGGCUAUCCUCUUGUUCAGCCACUUUAGGUCGAGGAUUGCUCGAAUCUCCCUCUUUGUUUUUAGCCAGGAAGAAUAAUAAGUACACCUUGUGGUUCCUGUCUCAUUGCGGCACUGGCUCCAUUGCCUGAAUAGCUAAGAGAUGGUUAGUGGCUGUGCUUGUCUAGCUCCCUGGACUAAUGAGUAUUGAUAAAUUUAUCUCUUGGCUGUCUGAAAAAUCCAGCGAGUAGUCAGAGGAAAUGGCAUCAAUCACUCACCUGUCAGAUGUGGAGAAGUCUGCCUUCUGGAGGCCCGGAGACCUGGCAUCAUGCAAACUGCUUUUCGGUUCCCUUCUGAAAUUUCAUGGGUGAGGAAUACCCCAAGUUGGACUGUGGCCAAGCAGAAGAGGGGGCUGUGGCUCGCUGUGUGUGGUUCCAGCAUGAUUUGUAGAUGCUUGAGGAAUGUUGCUCAUCGUAUUGUGAUCACCCUUCUUAAAGCGCAGGAGUGCCUUCUGUUUGUCAUGUGUCUCCACUAGCAGCUCCAGUAGCUCCUCAAAGAGCAUCCACCUGCUGUGAGUUAGCAGGCUGGCUCUGUGGCAUUGAUGUCCCAGUUGCAAAGCCAGAUGUUACAUCUCGCGAAGAUGGUUGCUGCCAUAGCCCUGGCAUUGGACUUCACUGCAUCCCACGCAGCGUCUGCUUGGAAAGUUGCAGCAAUGGAGAAUUUCUUCACUUUUUAAAAGCAGCAAGUCUUUGGUCUGACAUACGAUUUGUGUACUCAACCGAACAAAGUUGCAAACAACUAGCCCCAGUACAUCAAAAGGAUCAGAUAUGUCUAGAAAAAGAAGCUCUGAUGGUGGUAUAAGCACUUGUAUCCCUUGUAUUUCACUGGUAGAGUUAAACACUUUGCUAACUCUCUCCUAUAAAUGGGACUUAAAACUCUUAA